ACGGUCGCAAUAGUCAGGCUGUCAUAAGCAGAGAGAAGAGGAAGAAAGCAAAUGAGUGUAACUGUAGUAGUAAGCUUGAGCUUUGAAUGAACCAGAUCUUAUUGGACCUCUUCUGUUGCUGAUGGUGUAGCGUUGCCAAGCUUGCCCACCAGCAUGUCUGUUUCGGUUAUUAUAAAGUGGGGUGGACAGGAGUACUCCAUUACCACACUGUCUGAGGAGGACACCGUGUUGGAUCUGAAACAGUCCAUUAAAUCUCUCAC